CGGGAGGUCAUGAAACUGGAAACUGAUGCAAAGAGAGAGGGAUUCCAGUGUAGCGGGAAUGCGAGAGAUUGGAGGAACACCAGGGCGAAGGCGACCUCUGGUCUUAACGACGCGAGGAGGAAAGCGGGGGACGAACAGGAUUAGAUACCUGGUGUCCAGCCGUAAACGAUGAGUGCUAAGGUUAGGGGGUUUCCGCCCCUUAGUGCUGCAGCUAACGCAUUAAGCAUUCCGCCUGGGGAAUACGGUCGCAAGAUGAAACUCAAAGGAAUGACGGGGGCCCGCCCCAGCGGUGGAGCAUGGGGUUUAAUUGGAAGCAACGCGAAGACCCUUACCAGGUCUUGACAUCCUCUGACAACCCUAGAGAUAGGGCUUUCCCUUGGGGGACAGAGUGACCGGUGGUGCAUGGUUGUUGUCAGCUUGUGUCGUGAGAUGUUGGGUUAAGUCCCGCAACGAGCGCAACCCUUGAUCUUAGUUGCCAGCAUUUAGGUGGGCAAUUUAAGGUGACUGCCGGUGACAAACCGGAGGAAGGUGGGGAGGACGUCAAAUCAUCAUGCCCCUUAUGACCUGGGCUACACACGUGCUACAAUGGACAGAACAAAGGGGUGGGAGACCGCAAGGUUUAGCCAAUCCCAUAAAUCUGUUCUCAGUUCGGGUCGCAGUGAGCAACUCGACUGCGAGGAGGGGGAAUCGCUAGUAAUCGGGGAUCAGCAUGCCGGGGUGAAUACGUUCCCGGGCCUUGUACACACCGCCUGUCACACCACGGGAGUUUUCAACACCCGAAGUCGG
rnacentral:rRNA from 1 species